rnacentral:rRNA from 1 species
CCUACGGGGUGCUGCAGUGAGGAAUAUUGGUCAAUGGCCGGAAGGCUGAACCAGCCAUGCCGCGUGAAGGUCAGUGCCCUAUGGGCGUUAAACUUCUUUUGUGCGGGAGCAAUAAUGGUCACGUGUGGCCAGAAGAGAGUACCGUACGAAUAAGCAUCGGCUAACCCCGUGCCCGCCGCCGCGGUAAUACGGGGGAUGCAAGCGUUAUCCGGAUUUAUUGGGGUUAAAGGGUGCGUAGGCUGUGAGGUAAGGCAGCGGUGAAAUGCCCCCGCUCAACGGGGUGAAGUGCCAUUGAUACUGCCUUGCUGGAAUGCGGAUGCCGUGGGAGGAAUGUGUGGUGUAGCGGUGAAAUGCAUAGAUAUCACACAGAACACCGAUUGCGAAGGCAUCUCACGAAUCCGCGAUUGACGCUGAUGCACGAAAGCGUGGGUAUCAAACAGGAUUAGAUACCCGGGUAGUC